UCCAUUGCAGGUUUCACAUCAGCGUCCCAAUCAGCUGGCAGUCAAGAGAGUCAGAGCUGAGGUAGGCGACUCCCACUGGCGUCACAGCAAAACACCAACUAGAGGACAAGAAAUGUGUUUAGCCUUCUUAUUGUUGAAUUAGGACAUGUUACAGCUGAGCUUUGGGUGUGAUAUGAACGCAGAUCUGAUUAUGAAACAACAGGAAAGAAGCAUAAGCAGCAGGAGAGGCCCCAGAAAAACAGAGUUGAAGAUACCAUGACUAUGAAUGUGUGUCCUGUCAUUAAUAUUUCACUGCAUCAUUGUUGCUAAAGGAGAACAAAGUGUAAAGGGGAGCAUAAUGAAAAAUGUAUCAUAUUUUGACACAGCUUUGGAAUUUAUCUGUGCAAAACAAAGAACAGGCGAGUCUUCCGCUUGUGAUGAGAUUCUGUGACUGAGAAAAUAUGGUGAUUAAUGUGUCCAAAUAAUUGCUGCAUGCUUUACCAUAAGGUUAUUGCCAUUAUAUGCACAUAUCUGAUGAAGAUGGAUGAGGAUAUGGUUCUGUAACUCACUUAAAAGAGGCUAUUUUUACUACGUACACUUUUGUUUAGUUUUUUUUUCCCUCUUUUCUCAAACAGGGGAGAGAUGAUUGUCAAGGUCACAAGCUCCCAGUUUCUCACUUGUCCCUAAAAUUCAAAAAACAAGCUAUGUGACAUGUCAGAGCUCUGCCUGCAGACAGCAGCACGCAACCCAAGAGAGAUUACCAUAUCGCUCGCAUUUGUCUGCAGAAAGCCUUCAUGCAUUAAAAACAGAAUUCUCCACUCAG